rnacentral:rRNA from 1 species
UGGGGAAUUUUGGACAAUGGGCGAAAGCCUGAUCCAGCCAUGCCGCGUGCGGGAAGAAGGCCUUCGGGUUGUAAACCGCUUUUGUCAGGGAAGAAAUCUUUCGGGCUAAUACCUUGAAGGGAUGACGGUACCUGAAGAAUAAGCACCGGCUAACUACGUGCCAGCAGCCGCGGUAAUACGUAGGGUGCAAGCGUUAAUCGGAAUUACUGGGCGUAAAGCGUGCGCAGGCGGUUGUGCAAGACAGGUGUGAAAUCCCCGGGCUUAACCUGGGAACCGCACUUGUGACUGCACGGCUGGAGUACGGCAGAGGGGGAUGGAAUUCCGCGUGUAGCAGUGAAAUGCGUAGAUAUGCGGAGGAACACCGAUGGCGAAGGCAGUCCCCUGGGCCUGUACUGACGCUCAUGCACGAAAGCGUGGGGAGCAAACAGGAUUAGAUACCCUGGUAGUCCACGCCCUAAACGAUGUCAACUGGUGUUGGGAAGGUUCUUCUCAGUACGUAGCUAAC